CUGCAGCAACUCGAGUAGGAGCACCAGGAGCGUGGGCUCAGAGUGGGACUCUAUGGAUUGUUGUAAGAAGAUGGCAGACAAGCCUGACAUGGGAGAAAUCACCAGCUUCGAUAAGGCCAAGCUGAAGAAAACCGAGAUGCAAGAAAAGAACACCCUGCCGACCAAAGAGACCAUUGAGCAGGAAAAGUGGAGUGAAAUUUCCUAAAAACCUAGACUGGAGGAUUCCCCCCACCCCCC